CUGAUGGCGAGUGGCGAACGGGUGAGUAAUGCAUCGGAACGUGCCCAAUCGUGGGGGAUAACCUGUCGAAAGAUAGGCUAAUACCGCAUACGAUCUACGGAUGAAAGCGGGGGACCGCAAGGCCUCGCACUAUUGGAGUGGCCGAUGUCGGAUUAGCUAGUUGGUGGGGUAAAGGCUUACCAAGGCGACGAUCCGUAGCUGGUCUGAGAGGACGAUCAGCCACACUGGAACUGAGACACGGUCCAGACUCC
rnacentral:rRNA from 1 species